GGGCAGGUGGCAGAGCGGUCAAUUGCAUCUGGCUGUAAACCAGACGCCUUUAUGGCUACGGGGGUUCGAAUCCCUCCCUGCCCA
rnacentral:tRNA from 1 species